AUGAAGGAAGUCUUUUGUCUUUAGUAAGUAUGUAAUUCCCACUUUUCAGAUAUGCCUCAAAAAAAUCAAAUCCACCAAAUUUUUUUUGGCCACUGCUGGAUAUUAUUAUAUAAGCUCAUUAACAGGAUGCUAAACAUAAAACUGAAUAGCAAACAAUGCUAUUCAAAUGCUUUAGAUUUCCAGCCUGGAGAAGUGAAAGCUAUUUUACAAUAAACUAGAAAUUAGCCCCGUUAGUCCCAUAUCAUUGCUAUCAUUUGCAAGAGACAUAGCCAUUUAAUGAAUAUACAUUAUCCUGAAUAUUAAUUUCCUAUUAUUAUAAAAUGUCAGGCCAGCACAAUUGUUGGCCUUGUCAUCUUGUAAUACUCCAUGAUAUGACAGAAAAUUGUUCUCUAAAGGAAACUAUUGAAGAAAUAAAUCUAUUUCAACAAUUUUUUAAAAAUUUUAUCUCUAUAUAGCAAAUUCAUGUAAAGUAAUAUAAGAACUCUUCAGAUUUAUACUUUAUUUCUAAAAUAACAUAACUGAACUAAAACUGAUUUGGGGGAUAUGUAUGUAUAUAACUAUAUUUUCUCUCCUAAUAAAACAAAAUUUAUUGGUACCCAAAUUCAUCACACCAUACAUAAAACAAUAGCAUAGAUGUUACCUAAGGUGUCAUUCUAAUAUCAAAUAUCUAAGUACAUUAUAAAAGUCUGCUUAACAAUCAUUUAACAUUUUCCAUCUUCCCAUUGAAAUACACAUGGGGUACUCAACACGCUCUACAUCUCGACAUUGGAGAUUGAAGAUUCAACAUUACAGGAUCUUGAGAUAAAUUAUCCUUUGUUACAGUGCACAAGUUUCUGAAAUGAGCCAGAGCAGCAUGCCUGUGUUUGGUGUCAAUAAUUUCAUCAGGAUAAUUCCUGUUCGUCCUUCUUAUUUCAGUUUAGUUAAUCUUCUGCUAAAGAGUCACGCUGGAACCAAUCACGGCAGAAAGCGAACGGGAAGCAAGGCACCUUCUCCAUAAGGGAGCAGGAAGGAGAAGUGGCAAGCAAAGGAGAAAGAGCCCCUUAUAAAACCAUCAGGUCUCCUGAGAACUCACUCACUAUCAGGAGAACAGCUUGA
rnacentral:lncRNA from 10 species